GUCUACGGCCAUAUCACCCUGAAUACACCCAAUCUCAUCUGCUCUCAGAAGUUCAGCAGGGUCGGCCUGGUUAGUACUUGGAUGGGAGAAUACUGAAGAAAAGUACAUGCAUUAUGAUU
ensembl:rRNA 5S_rRNA 5S ribosomal RNA